GUGAGGAAUAUUGCGCAAUGGAGGCAACUCUGACGCAGCCAUGCCGCGUGCAGGAAGAAGGCGCUACGCGUUGUAAACUGCUUUUAACCGGGAAGAAACCCCAGGACGUGUCCUGGGUUGACGGUACCGGAGGAAUAAGCACCGGCUAACUUCGUGCCAGCAGCCGCGGUAAUACGAAGGGUGCAAGCGUUAUCCGGAUUCAUUGGGUUUAAAGGGUGCGUAGGCGGAGCGUUAAGUCAGUGGUGAAAUCCUGCAGCUUAACUGUAGACGUGCCAUUGAUACUGGCGCUCUUGAGUGCGCUUGAAGUGGGCGGAAUGUGCCGUGUAGCGGUGAAAUGCUUAGAUAUGGCACAGAACACCAAUUGCGAAGGCAGCUCACUAAGGCGAUACUGACGCUGAGGCACGAAAGCGUGGGGAUCGAACAGGAUUAGAAACCCCAGUAGUCC
rnacentral:rRNA from 1 species